rnacentral:rRNA from 1 species
UACGGGGGGAGCAAGCGUUGUUCGGAUUUACUGGGCGUUGAGGGCGCGUAGGCGGUCGUGACAAGUCACUUGUGAAAUCUCCGGGCUUAACUCGGAACGGUCAAGUGAUACUGUCGGACUAGAGUACAGAAGGGGCAACUGGAAUUCUCGGUGUAGCGGUGAAAUGCGUAGAUAUCGAGAGGAACACCUGCGGCGAAGGCGGGUUGCUGGGCUGAUACUGACGCUGAGGCGCGAAAGCCAGGGGAGCGAACGGG